UACGUAGGGGGCAAGCGUUGUCCGGAUUUAUUGGGCGUAAAGAGCGCGUAGGCGGUCCGAUAAGUCGGCUGUGAAAGUCAAGGGCUCAACCCUUGGAAGCCGGUCGAUACUGUCGGACUAGAGUCCGGAAGAGGCGAGUGGAAUUCCCGGUGUAGCGGUGAAAUGCGCAGAUAUCAGGAGGAACACCGGUGGCGAAGGCGGUUCUCUGGGCAUGUCCUGACGCUGAGGAGCGAAAGUGUGGGGAGCGAACAGG
rnacentral:rRNA from 1 species